rnacentral:rRNA from 1 species
UACGGAGGGUGCUAGCGUUGUUCGGAAUUAUUGGGCGUAAAGCGUGCGUAGGCGGCUUUGUAAGUCAGAGGUGAAAGCCCACGGCUCAACUGUGGAACUGCCUUUGAGACUGCUUCGCUUGAAGAUGGGAGAGGUAAGUGGAAUUCCGAGUGUAGAGGUGAAAUUCGUAGAUAUUCGGAAGAACACCAGUGGCGAAGGCGGCUAACUGGGCCAUUCUUGACGCUGAGGUACGAAAGCGUGGGGAGCAAACAGG